rnacentral:rRNA from 1 species
CCUACUCCUACGGGAGGCAGCAGUAGGGAAUCUUCCACAAUGGACGCAAGUCUGAUGGAGCAACGCCGCGUGAGUGAAGAAGGUUUUCGGAUCGUAAAGCUCUGUUGUUGGUGAAGAAAGAUAGUGAGAGUAACUGCUCAUUAUUUGCCGGUAAUCAACCAGAAAGUCACGGCUAACUACGUGCCAGCAGCCGCGGUAAUU